rnacentral:tRNA from 1 species
GGGCGAGUGGCGAAAUUGGUAGACGCACUGGUUUUAGGUACCAGCGGGUGAAACCAUGAGAGUUCGAGUCUCUCCUUGCCCACCA